rnacentral:rRNA from 1 species
AGAGUUUGAUCCUGGCUCAGGAUGAACGCUGGCGGCGUGCUUAACACACGCAAGUCGAACGGAGAGCUCAUGACAGAGGAUUCGUCCAAUGGAUUGAGUUUCUUAGUGGCGGACGGGUGAGUAACGCGUGAGGAACCUGCCUCGGAGUGGGGAAUAACAGUCCGAAAGGACUGCUAAUACCGCAUAAUGCAGUUGGGUCGCAUGGCUCUGACUGCCAAAGAUUUAUCGCUCUGAGAUGGCCUCGCGUCUGAUUAGCUGGUUGGCGGGGUAACGGCCCACCAAGGCGACGAUCAGUAGCCGG